rnacentral:rRNA from 1 species
UACGUAGGGGGCGAGCGUUGUCCGGAGUUACUGGGCGUAAAGCGCACGAAGGCGGUCUGCUAAGUUUGGAGUGACAGUUGGUGGCUUAACUGCCAAAGUGCUUCGAAAACUGACAGACUUGAGGGCUUCAGAGGGACACGGAAUUCCGGGUGGAGUGGUGAAAUGCGUAGAGAUCCGGAGGAACACCAAAGGCGAAGGCAGUGUCCUGGCUGGCAUCUGACGCUGAGGCGCGAAAGCUAGGGGAGCGAACAGG